CCUACGGGUGGCAGCAGUGAGGAAUAUUGGUCAAUGGGCGGAAGCCUGAACCAGCCAAGUAGCGUGAAGGAUGACGGCCCUACGGGUUGUAAACUGCUUUUAUAUGGGAAUAACGCUCCGUAUGUGUAGUGUUUUGCAUGUACCGUAUGAAUAAGGACCGGCUAAUUCCGUGCCAGCAGCCGCGGUAAUACGGAAGAUCCGGGCGUUAUCCGGAUUUAUUGGGUGUAAAGGGAGCGUAGUCGGACGCGUAAGGUUGCUGUGAAAGGUUGCGGCUGAACCGUAGAAUUGCAGUUGAUAAUGGGAGUCUAGAGUGCAGCAGAGGUAGGCGGAAGUCGUGGUGUAGGGGUAAAAUGCUUAGAGAUCAAGAGGAA
rnacentral:rRNA from 1 species